ACGUCAGACGUCAGGGGAACGAAUGGAACUGAAGAAAGAACUCGCUUUAGCGAAAUCUAUUCCGAAACCCUUACGACCGAUGUCCGAUGACUGACGACCGAAUAGUGGCGGACGGGUGAGUAACGCGUGGGCAACCUACCCAUAAGAGGGGGAUAACAGCUGGAAACGGCUGCUAAUACCGCAUAAGCUUUUUAGGACACAUGUUUAGAAAGUAAAGGAGGCUUUCAGCUUCCGCUUAUGGAUGGGCCCGCGUCUGAUUAGCUAGUUGGUAGGGUAACGGCCUACCAAGGCAACGAUCAGUAGCCGGCCUGAGAGGGUGGACGGCCACACUGGGACUGAGACACGGCCCAGACUCCUACGGGAGGCAGCAGUGGGGAAUAUUGCGCAAUGGGGGAAACCCUGACGCAGCGACGCCGCGUGAGCGAAGAAGGCCUUCGGGUUGUAAAGCUCUGUUGUAAGGGACGAAAGAAUAAGGGAGUAACUGCCCUUAAAGUGACGGUACCUUACCAGCAAGCCCCGGCUAACUACGUG
rnacentral:rRNA from 1 species